rnacentral:rRNA from 1 species
GAGUUUGAUUAUGGCUCAGAUUGAACGCUGGCGGCAGGCUUAACACAUGCAAGUCGAACGGAAGUUACUAGCUUGCUAGUAACUUUAGUGGCGAACGGGUGAGUAACAUUUAGGAAUCUGCCUCAUAACGGGGGAUAGCUCGGGGAAACUCGAAUUAAUACCGCAUACACCCUACGGGGGAAAGGUGGCGCAAGCUGCCGAUAUGAGAUGAGCCUAAAUCAGAUUAGCUAGAUGGUGGGGUAAAGGCCUACCAUGGCGACGAUCUGUAACUGGUCUGAGAGGAUGAUCAGUCACACCGGAACUGAGACACGGUCCGGACUCCUACGGGAGGCAGCAGUGGGGAAUAUUGGACAAUGGGCGAAAGCCUGAUCCAGCCAUGUCGCGUGUGUGAAGAAGGCCAUAAGGUUGUAAAGCACUUUAAGCAGGGAGGAAGAACUUUUAGUUAAUAGCUAGAAAGUGG